rnacentral:rRNA from 1 species
UAAUACGUAGGUGGCAAGCGUUACUCGGAAUUACUAGGCGUAAAGCGCAGGUAGGUGGUUUGGCAAGUCCGUAAUGAAAUCUCCCGGCUUAACUGGGAGGGGUUUAGGGAUACUGCCAGGCUUGAGUGUGGGAGAGGUAACUGGAAUUCCUGGUGUAGCGGUGAAAUGCGUAGAGAUCAGGAGGAACACCUAUGGCGAAAGCAGGUUACUGGCCCAAUACUGACACUGAGCUGCGAAAGCUAGGGGAGCAAACAGGAUUAGAUACCCUGGUAGUCCUAGCCAUAAACGAUGCAGACCAGAGGUGGGGGGUAUCGACCCCCUCCGCCCCGAACCUAACGGAUUAAGUCUGCCGCCUGGGGAGUACGGCCGCAAGGUUG